CUAACCUGCAAAUCUCCAGACCUACCACAGCGCAUCCUAAGUACCUAAUCAGAACACCGCCACAGGGAAAACGCCUUCCAACCAGCACCAGGAGCUCGGAAAUGGCCUCACCUCCUCUUCCCCACCCACAUUCUGCACACACUGUGAGAGGGCCAGGUGGGGUUGGAGGCUGUCACUGGGGGAGACUGGAGAGGAGACAGGCCUCAGGCACAGGCAACCUCACCCCUCCUGAGACAGAGCCUCAACUUUAAGCUGACAGCCCCACUGCCCCCGAGGCAAGGAGGAGCCUGGCCAGCACCUAGGAGGAGGCCAGGGUCAGGGAGGGAGGGCAGGCCAGGGUCCCCGGGCACAGUCACUGCCCACCCUCCUCCAGAGCAGAUGGCCUCUGCAGCAAGGGCUCGGCAGGCCUGGGACUGAGCUCCCACAGGCAGCCGAUGUCAGGAGGGUGUGACCCUGGAAGGAGCAGGAGGCCAGGACCUGAGGACAUGGCACCUGCACCCCCACCCCUACCCCCGAGGUGGGAUGCAGAAGGGAUGUGGGAGGACCAGAGCAUGGGUGCGGGCUGAGAGGCUGAGAUGCAGGGCAGCCUGCAGCUUCCGGGCCUCUGUUAGCCUCUCAGGCAGGAAGGAGGGGUGUUGGGAAGACUCUGGUUUCAGACCAGUUGGGAAGGCCAAGGACAGAUGUUUGGGGGAGGAGAUACUGGAAACAAAAAUAUGGGUUUAGGAGUUAAUCACCCAGAAACAGGAGCCAGAGCGCCUAGAGAAACUGGGCCCUAGAGAAGCCAAGAUGGACACCUGGGUGCAGGUGGUGUUUAGGGAGCAGGGAAGAACCAGGCGCCCAGGGCACAUCCCAGGGAAGGCCCAAGGGCGCCUCCCAGCCACGGUCCAGGGAGACAAUGGGGCAGUCAGUGAGGCGCAAGUCAUCAGAAAGGAAAGGAGGAGAGCUGAUAACAGGCCGGGAGCCGCACCUCCCGCAGGAGCACCCUGGCUCUCAGGGAGAUGACUCCGCGUCCUCCAGGACAGCAUCAACCGACCCACCUGUCACCAGCCACCCGACUCUCAAUCUAAGCACAGGACAUGCCCUCAAAAGAACACUGGCUUGGAAGGCGCUGCCCCAAAUAGUUAAUCUAUUCACUUUUGAGAGUUUCUGUCAUGGCUCAGCCGUAACAAACCUGACUUGUAUCGUUGAGGACUCAGCUUCAAUCCCUGGCCUCGCUCAGUGGGUUAAAUGAUCCUCAGGCGUUGCCGUGAGCUGUGGCAUAGGCCGGUGGCCACAGCUCUGAUUAGACCCCUAGCCUGGGAACCUCCAUAUGCCUCAGGUGCGGCCCUAAAAAGACCCCCCCAAAAAAAAAAUCCAUUCACUUUUCAUACAUACCAUGUAAACUAAAACGACAGAUAAAACAAGUUUUUAAUUCUGUGGCAGAAACGAAAAUAAAAUUUAACAAAUAAAUACAAACCAUGCGCUUCUCUACCCCUUUUCGUGUUGCCUUAAAGUGACUGUGUUUCCAAGAUCUUAGCCACAAGCCCACUGUUACCUCUGAUAUUAACUGGUGUCCCAAGAGCAGCUAUAUUCCACUUGUUUACAUGUAACAGAAUAACAUUACUUGCAAAAUUCUAAAAAAAUACUGUAAAAUAUAUGAAUAACCAUUUUUCCAAUCUGUUUUAUACUUCUAUGGUACCCACACUGCAUAAUUAACAAACUGGUCUGGAGUUCCCAUCGUGGUGCAGUGAAAGCAAAUCUGACUGGUAUCCAUGAGGUUGCAGAUUCAUUUCUGCUGAGCCACGAUGGGAACUCCAAAAAUCUGCAUUUUUGAACAAGCACCCCAGGUGACUGUUAAUUCUAAGGCCCAAUAAAUAUCUAUCUUAUUAGUCAUUCUAAUUUUAAAUAAUUAUAUAAGAUCCUCAAAGUCAUCUAAACAGACCCAUUUCAUAGGUCCCUUGGAGAAAACAGAUGAAAAAGCUACCUCAGUCCAGUUCACCAUUCUACUUGUCCAAUGGAUGCAUUAUUUCUGCAAAACCACCUGGUCCACUCUGAAUCCUGGCAGAGUGGAAGGGAGGGAAGAACAUUGUUGAAAAGCUGGUGGAUAUCAGGCUCACGGCGCCUGCUCCCUCCUCACCUGAAAAUGACCAGUAGCGACUCUGUCCUCAGUUAGCUUUUCUGUCCCGGAAUGACAGACAAGCGUUUUCUAAGCAACUGUUUCAAAACAGGGAGGGGAAAAGGGGAAGCUGGCACUCCUUUCACAAAACAGGAUGUUGGAAGAAUAAGAGAGAGACAAGAAAAUUUCAUAUGGAUAUGAAUUAAGGCUUUGAAUAAAAACACCCAGUUUCUCAGCUCCAGCCUGGAGUUGGAAGGUGAAACAAAUCAUAUCAUGUAUGAAAUUCAACAGCUGGCUCAAGCUGCCUUUUUUAGAAGAGGUAUAGGUAGUCCAGAGUCAUUUUCGGGUUUGCCAAGUGAAGAUAUUAUUAUUCUUAAUGUUAUUAUUAUGGUGGCAGGGAUCCAGAAAGGAUAAUGCCAAAGAUGUGGGCAUUGAAGUUCUGAAAAGCCUGAGCUCCAGCGGGUGCCUGACAGCCACCAUCCGCCGGCAAAAGCCCGGCAUCUGGGCGGAUCCUCGGGCAGUGCUUCACCCUUCGUUCAGGCCGAGACGGUCAAACACCACAUUCCCCAGGUAUCCCAUGGUGGUGUCGCCUGCCGGCCUGCCCGCAAUUCAAUAACAGCAGUGUCACCAGCCACGGGCUCAACAGUGUGGCAAAAUUACCUGACUGUGUCUUUGUGCUAUGUCCCUACUAAGGAGCUGACAAUACAAGAGAAAGAGUUCUCCCUAUCCUGCUGGACCCUAGCAGCGAAACGGAACAGAUCUCAGCAGCCACAAAGCUCCUUAUAAACCUGAAGUUUCUUUCAAACACCAGCCCAGAUUGUUAUUGCUGUUUUUUAAUGAGAGGAGAAAAUGGAAAGCUUAAAAUGCUAAUUCUGGUGAUACACCUAGCUCUGAGAUGUAACCCAAGCAAAACAAGUUUAAAAUAGUAAAUGCAGGAGUUCCUGCUAUGGUACAAUGGGUUAAGGAUCUGGCAUCGCCGCAGCUCGGCCAUAGGUUGCAGCUAUGGCCUGGAUUCGAUCCAUGGCCCAGGAACUUCCAUAUGCCACAGGUGCAGCAAAAAAAUAAAUAAAAGAAAAUAUUAAGUGUAGCAAAAAUAGCAAAACUUCAAGUUUUAAUGAGAGGCUCACCAUACUCAAACUUAUCAACAGUUUGUUCAAUUGUGAAGGAAUAAAAACUAUACACAUAUACAAAAUCUAAAUAUAGCACCGUUGAAUAAAUAGUCCAACGAGGCAAAGCAGUCUAAGGAUUUGGGAUAUUACCAUUUUUUAAAAGCCCCUGGAAAAGGAACACACCCCAAGCCCAUAACACACAAGCCCACCGCUUUACGCCUCUGGAUCUGCAGCCCACCGAAAGUGUGCUGCUGCCAGGGUGGGGAGCGGGCAGCAGUUCGCAGGCACCUGUUGGAGGCUGCGUGUUUAUUCAUGUUAACUACCUGUGAAGAACAAGCUCCAUGACUGGGAACUCAGGUAGCAUCCUGCCUUCUUUCCUGAGCAAUUCAGGUCCUCCGCUGUGCAAGAAAGAUGCUAAGUGAAUUAAUACAUCUUGGAUAAUCACCAGAAAGAAACUCUGAGGAGAGCCCAUCCGUGGCAAGCUGAACAUGGUGAUGUUGGCUAGUCUCAGACUCACGAACACAAACAGGGGGGACCCAGUUGUCUUACAAUAAGCAUGUGUCUUCUAGGUGGAAAGUGUUCUCAAUUGAUAAGAUAUGACCUGUGAGGAAAAGAAGCCUCUCCGACUAAUCCGUUAACAGGCAGCUCUGGGCCUCUCGGUGUCUCUCCCAGGGCCAGGCCUCGAAGGCACAGCCUUGUAACCCUGACAGGUCCUCUUCCUCCCCUUCCGAGGCCACCGUCACGCUAAGGGCAUGAGCCAAAGCAAUUUCUGCCGAGAGGUUAACACUACAGGCUCGUAAGUGAGCCCGUCCUGAUUAGAAUCCCAACUCCACCACUAAUAGCUGGAUUCUUGGCAAAUUCUCUAAAACGCAACCUCUAAAACUCAAUUUCCUACCUAUAAAAUGGCAGUUGUUAUUCCUUCCUCAGCAUUUGGAUUAAUCUACUUCAGGAGUCAGUGAAAACACUUCAAAAUACAAUUCACAGGAAGCCCAUGUUCCACACACAGCAGUUAUUGAGAUCGAGCCCUUAGAGUCAGUGUUACUCAAGAAACUUCUACAAAUUUUCAACCUUGCAGUAAGGGUGGAAGAACAGAGGGGACUGCCACCCCUGUGUAGCCAAGAAGAGAACUAGUAAAUAACAUUCAGCUCUAUGCCAGGACAAAGGCACACAGAUAGUAAUUUUGAUGUCAACUCCUGAGGAAAAGUGAAAAUUGGGCAGCUGGUCUCCACUGCAGACCCCUCGUUCUUUGCCAGUCAUAACUGAGGAUUAUGGGGACUUU
ensembl:lncRNA